AGGAAAACUAUAUUUCGAGCUGAAAAACCUAACACAGUAUAUUGUCAGGGUUUACAGCCAAUGGGUAUCAGGGGAAACCCGGAUGCCUCCCGCAUUUGGAAAGAAAUGCAUUGGAAAGAGAA
rnacentral:ncRNA from 2 species